UUUGUUGUAGAAACAGAAACUGACAGUUAUCACCCAAAAGUUUGUUUGCAAUAGCAGCGAGAAACAAAGUAAGCGUAACUAAACUGAGUGGAAAAUGAUCAAAAGCUAUGCUGUCUAGCGUCAGAAAAAAGAAACGUUCAGCAGUAACAUGAAAACAAUGUUGACACUUGACACUCAAUUGAAAGAACUAACAAAUAAAGGCAAAUAACUUUGAUACUCACGUUCACGUAAUAUUCUCCCCUCCAAAUUUAUAUCCAGUCUUCACAAAAAAUACACCACCUCAACAUCACUGCUGCAUCACACAUCACAACAGACGAAAUCUCCCAAGGUAUAAAUGUUUCGACAAUGAGGAGUGCUUCUAUACAACUUUCGAUGACUCUUGAUGUUUGGCUGUUAAUGGAGAAUUGGAGAUCCUGCCUAAUGAGGUGAUGGUGAAAAAACUGUUUCUGCUGCUGUCCUUGAUGUCACAAUUCAGUGUGUUGUUUGUUAAUUUGUCUGUCAUGUCAAAUCUUUUCCUUCUCUGGCACUCAAAUCUUAUCCAUGCAGUAUACAACUGAGAUGCAAACUGAUCUUACAUGUUCUACUGCUACAUAAAAAUAACCUUGAAACCAACAAUAACACUGUUAUUAUCAUGGUUGAGAUAGCAACAGAGCCCCUGUCAUCUAAUAAAUUCAAUGUAUUGUUUUUAAUUUAA